ACUUAGCAGAGAUGCUUUGGUGCCUUCGGGAACUCUGAGACAGGUGCUGCAUGGCUGUCGUCAGCUCGUGUCGUGAGAUGUUGGGUUAAGUCCCGCAACGAGCGCAACCCUUAUCAUUAGUUGCUACGCAAGGGCACUCUAAUGAGACUGCCGGUGACAAACCGGAGGAAGGUGGGGAUGACGUCAAGUCCUCAUGGCCCUUAUGGGUAGGGCUUCACACGUCAUACAAUGGUCGGAACAGAGGGUCGCCAACCCGCGAGGGGGAGCCAAUCCCAGAAAACCGAUCGUAGUCCGGAUCGCAGUCUGC
rnacentral:rRNA from 1 species